AAAACGACUCUCGGCAACGGAUAUCUCGGCUCUCGCAUCGAUGAAGAACGUAGCGAAAUGCGAUACUUGGUGUGAAUUGCAGAAUCCCGUGAACCAUCGAGUCUUUGAACGCAAGUUGCGCCCCAAGCCAUUAGGYCGAGGGCACGUCUGCCUGGGUGUCACGC
rnacentral:rRNA from 1 species